rnacentral:rRNA from 1 species
GAGAGUAAAACAGUACGUGAAAUUGUUGAAAGGGAAACGCUUGAAGUCAGUCGUGCCGGCGUUGGAUUCAGCUUGCUUCGCGGAGCAGGCGUAUUUCCGCGCAUGGCAGGUCAGCGUCAGUUUUGCGCGGCGUGAAAAGGCUCGGGUAAGGUAGCUCUCUUCGGGGAGUGUUAUAGACCUGGGCAGAUGCGCUGCGCGGGACUGAGGAUUGCAGCGGACACCCCCUCGGGGGCGCGGCGACCGAACCCUGCUCGGCCACCCUCGUUCGAUAGCGUGCUAGCGGACGCGGGAGCGGCGGUGCACCGGAACAGGCAAGCCAGCGGUUCGCUAAGGAUGCUGACGUAAUGGCUUUAAACGA